rnacentral:lncRNA from 1 species
CACACUUAUUGAUCAGUAUCUUAUGACUAUUAAUGCAGAAAUCCUCAACAAAAUACAAGCAGACUGAAUUCAGUAGCACAUUAAAUGAUGGUGCAUCCUGACCAAGUACGCCGUAUUCCUGGAAUGUCUAAGGGAUGAUUCAAAAUGAGAAAAGUAAUUAAUGUAAUAUACCAUAUUAACAGAAUGAAUGGGGAAAACAUGAUCAUUUCAAUUGAUGCAGAAAAACAUUGACAAAAUUUAACCCCUUUUCAUGAUUAAAAGAAAAAAAAAACACUCAGCAAACUGAAAGUAGAAGGAAACUACCUCAGCAUAAUAAAGGGUAUAUGUGAAAGUCCCACACGUAACAUAAUUGUUGGUGAAGGACUGAAAGCAUGUCUUCCAGGAUUAAGAACAAGGCAAGAUGCCCACUUUUGCUGCUUCUGUUUGUCAUUGUACUGAAAUCAUAUGCAGAGCAAGUAGGUAAGAAAUAAAGACAUCCACAUUGGAAAGAAGAAGUAAAAUUAGCUUUCUAAUUAGUAAAAUUAGCAGAUGAUAUGAUCUUAUAU